GGACGGCUCAGUAACACGUGGCUAACCUACCCUCGGGUGGGGGAUAACCUCGGGAAACUGAGGAUAAUACCCCAUAGGAGAAGAGGUCUGGAAUGAUCCUUCUCUGAAAACAUAUGUGCCCGAGGAUGGGGCUGCGUCUGAUUAGGUAGUUGGUGGGGUAACGGCCCACCAAGCCUACGAUCAGUACGGGCCUUGAGAGAGGCAGCCCGGAGAUGGGGACUGAGACACGGCCCCAGGCCCUACGGGGCGCAGCAGGCGCGAAACCUCCGCAAUGCACGAAAGUGCGACGGGGGGACCCCAAGUGCUUACGCACUGCGUAGGCUUUUCUAAAGUGUAAAAAGCUUUAGGAAUAAGGGCUGGGCAAGUCCGGUGCCAGCAGCCGCGGUAACACCGGCGGCCCGAGUGGUGACCACUUUUAUUGGGCCUAAAGCGUCCGUAGCCGGUCCAGUAAGUCCCUGUUUAAAUCCUACGGCUUAACCGUAGGGCUGGCAGGGAUACUGCUGGACUUGGGACCGGGAGAGGGCGAGGGUACUUCAGGGGUAGCGGUGAAAUGUGUUGAUCCCUGGAGGACCACCUAUGGCGAAGGCACUCGCCUGGAAC
rnacentral:rRNA from 1 species